CUUCCAACCUUUAGAUCUAACUCUGUUACCCUAAGGGUGGCUCAAUGUUACAAAAAAAGAGUAUCCAGCUGAGAAACCCUAAUAGUCAAUAACGUAAAAUGAGCACUAUAAAUAAUCAGUUCAAAUGUAUAACCUGAUAAUCAAGUCAUAGAGGUUAACUAUAGGGUAUAUAUCCAUCAGGAAAAAAAUCUUAAUAAAUAUAUCUCACAACAGCUGAAUAGAUAACUGAAUCUAGCACACUCUUCCUAUUGCUGAUGGGGUAGAGAAUACUAAUAGGUAAAAUAGAUUAACUCCUAAACCUAUAUUCCUACUGCCCUCCCUCAGCUACCAAGCAAUAUUGGCAGUAGGAAUAUAGGUUUUAUUUACCCUUACGGUAACAGAG